UCCGUAGGGUGCAAGCGUUUUCCGGAUUUAUUGGGUUUAAAGGGUGCGUAGGCGGUUUUGUAAGUCAGUGGUGAAAUAUGUCAGCUUAACUGAGAGGGUGCCAUUGAUACUGCAGAACUUGAGUACAGAUGAGGUAGGCGGAAUUGACGGUGUAGCGGUGAAAUGCUUAGAUAUCGUCAAGAACACCUAUAGCGAAGGCAGCUUACUAGGCUGUAACUGACGCUGAGGCACGAAAGUGUGGGGAUAAAACAGG
rnacentral:rRNA from 1 species